GGCGGGAAAACGGAGACCCAGGGAGCCUGGGACACGGGCUUGGCCUGAGCACGCGCAGUUUAAGGGGCUCAUUGUACCCGCGGAGGGAAACUGAGGCCCAGGACAGCGGUCAGAAAGUGCGCUGCGGCGCUGGGACCCCACCCCGGGGGCUCCCCCGCCGGUGCCCCGUGUAGGGCAAAGGGGCCGCGGGGGAGGGGAGGGCGAACGGGCUUUCAUUCAUUAAUGCCACAAGCAGUGACUUAGCGCCUACUGUGUACACAGUACAGUGAGCAUGUAGUAGGCGCUGGUAACAGCCCAUCUUACCCUGGAGAGGGGGAGAUGAGGGAGGCCUCGCAGGCCCUCGGUAUGAAUCCUACCCAGCUUUGGGCUAGUUCCUUCGGGGGCCUCAGUUUCCCUGCCCUGUCAAAAAAUGAGGGGGUGUCGGAAGUGGCCCCUGGACCCCCUGCCCCGAACCUAGUGGAGAGAAGGUCCCGGGCCCCCCAGGAAUCCCCAGCGGGAGGAGCUCGGGUGGGCAGGGCCCCCCAGCUCCACGGGUUAUCUUGGGGAGCAUAGCGGUCCCCCAUUGCUCUGAGAAGCAGCUGGAGGCUUGUGGGCUUUGUUAAGGCUUUCGUUUACUGUCUUCCUUUCCUUCCAUCCCCAGGGCUGGGCAUACAGUAGGCCGUUAAUCAAUGCUUAUUGUUGUCUGGCCUGGAAGGCAGCCAGGGAUUCCAGGAGGUGGAGGUGGGGGAGGCGUGCGGAUCCAGCCUGGAGCUGGACCUGAGGAAAGGCUGGUGUGGUUUGUCCUUGGUUCUCCUCCGGGACCUUGGGGUCCAGGGGCCAGAUAUUCACCAGGAGGACUGGAGAUGGCCAGGAUGCAGUGGGAGCCCCAGGCCUUUUCAGGGUCUCACUGAGCGUGAGGCAGCCCCCUUUGGUGCAUAGCCCUCUUUAAGAAGAGAGUCCAGGGCCCGCCCCUUUAAUAAAAAAUGGCUGUGGGAGGGGAGCGCCCAGGACUGCGGUUCCAAAGAGAAACAGUUACUGCUGACGUUCACUCUGAGCUCCGAGGGACAAAAAGUAACCGCUUAGUGGUGCCUGGGUGCGGACCUGCUGUGGGCCGAGAGUGAAUGGGGUUUAAGGCUUGGCCUUUGAGAAAGAAGUCUAACUGGUAAACACCAAGGGAACGAGGCAGCUCUGGGCCAUCAAAAGACAAGAAAACCCAAGAGCCUUUGGGUGGGAAAGAUGCUGUUUUGAGGAUCUCCUAGCAGUCAGUGCCACUCUCAGCACAGCUGGAGGAUCUCAUAUCGAAAGAACCUGUGCUUUCCCCGGCAUAACU